GACGUAGGAGGCGAGCGUUAUCCGGAUUCACUGGGCGUAAAGCGCAUGUAGGCGGCUGGAUCAGUCGUGUGUUAAAGCCCCCGGCUCAACUGGGGGAGGUCAUGCGAGACUAUUCGGCUUGAGGGCAGCAGAGGAGCGUGGAACUCCCGGUGUAGCGGUGGAAUGCGUAGAUAUCGGGAAGAACACCAGUGGCGAAGGCGACGCUCUGGGCUGUCACUGACGCUGAGAUGCGAAUGUGUGGGGAGCAAACGGG
rnacentral:rRNA from 1 species